rnacentral:rRNA from 1 species
UGCCAGCCGCCGCGGUAAUACGGAGGGUGCAAGCGUUACUCGGAAUCACUGGGCGUAAAGAGCGUGUAGGCGGAUAAAUAAGUUGGAAGUGAAAUCCUAUGGCUCAACCAUAGAACUGCUUUCAAAACUGUUUAUCUAGAAUAUGGGAGAGGUAGAUGGAAUUUCUGGUGUAGGGGUAAAAUCCGUAGAGAUCAGAAGGAAUACCGAUUGCGAAGGCGAUCUACUGGAACAUUAUUGACGCUGAGACGCGAAAGCGUGGGGAGCAAACAGGAUUAGAUA